rnacentral:tRNA from 1 species
GCGGGCGUAGCGUAGCUGGUUAACGCAUCUGCUUGUCACGCAGAAGAUCGCCGGUUCGAGUCCGGUCGCUCGCGCAA